rnacentral:tRNA from 1 species
UGUCCUGUACCCAAUGGAUAAGGCGCCUGACUACGAAUCAGCAGAUUCCAGGUUCGAGUCCUGGCAGGAUCG